UACGUAGGGUGCAAGCGUUGUCCGGAAUUAUUGGGCGUAAAGAGCUCGUAGGUGGUCUGUCGCGUCGGAUGUGAAAAUCCAGGGCUCAACCCUGGACCUGCAUUCGAUACGGGCAGACUAGAGUUCGGUAGGGGAGACUGGAAUUCCUGGUGUAGCGGUGAAAUGCGCAGAUAUCAGGAGGAACACCGGUGGCGAAGGCGGGUCUCUGGGCCGAAACUGACGCUGAGGAGCGAAAGCGUGGGGAGCAAACAGG
rnacentral:rRNA from 1 species